rnacentral:lncRNA from 1 species
AGUGCAAGUGUUCGAAAGCACAAAGGCAGACUGUCUACCCGCGACAGUUCGCAAGUUGCGGUGGCGGGGCGGCUGUGCGGAGCGCGCGUGCAGGGUCUCACUGUCAAAAUAAGUUCUACCACUUUUUAAACGCAGAAAAAACCAAGAUAGGAUAUUUUGAAUUGAAACUAGCAGCUCAGCUGAAAAAGGUUUGCACUACGACGGUUGUGGAAGAGAAAACGAGAUGUUCUUGGAGGGGAGCAGCAGCCUCCCUUCUAAUGUUAGCAUGGGAAAGCACAUUUGGUUGCAUCACAGUCACUGAACCCUCAGAGUGCAAGUUGCCACAGAACAGCACGGUUUUGUCCAGGGUAGCCCUGUGGUACAUUCUUGGCGGUGAUUUGACAAGAUCUGGACAUUAGCUGCUGAGAUGAAAUGUGAAAUUGCAGAG